rnacentral:lncRNA from 1 species
CGGUUCCCGACUGACCCUAUUUUUUUCUGCUGACCCUAUUAUUUUUUCAACGCGAUUGACCGUGCGACCCUAUUUUCUCCAGGUGGUUGCGGGCUGCUCAUACAGCGUGCCAAAAUGGCGUCCGUUGUCACACUAAUUAUUGAACCAAAUUGCCUAAAUUCGUCCAUAGGAAAUACGCCUCUGUAGUUAAUAUUGAUGCCGGGACUCUACUGCAAAUCGCCCAGCAAAAACCAUGAAAAAAAUAUUCAAAAAAAAUUUAUUUCCGACCUACCGACCCUAAUUUUUUCACGAUAUGAAACCGGAACCACAGGUAUUUUUUUACGCCCAAGU